rnacentral:ncRNA from 1 species
AUUUAUACGUUGAAGAGAAGAGUAGCUAAAACGAGCAGUUUCAGAGAGUCCGGCCGGUGGGAAAGGACAUUGCGCAAUUUAGUGAAGAUGAGCUCUGAGUAUUUCAAAUGGUUUACGCUAUUUGAACGAAAAGCAAUCGUUAAUUUGCCGGGUAUCAACAGGUACCGUUGAGAUAUUAUUCGUGAGAAUAAUAUGAAUAAGGGUGGUAACGCGAAAAGUCUUCGUCCCUUUG